AUUUAGGAAAUGAUUAUUCAUAUAUGAUUUCGGCUCAUAGUUUGGUGGUAUUUCUACCCUUAAAUU
rnacentral:tRNA from 1 species